GCAAACAAUGGUUGCUGUACUCCACCCACGCCCCUGGAGCUGAAUUUCAAGUUCUGAAUUUAGACAAUACAGCUGGAAUUUCUGCAGUGUCACUCCGUGACACGCGGGGCUCCGGGCAGCUCUUGUUAAAAAUAUCUGGACACCCAUUGCAAGAACGAAAAUGAAUAUUUGAAAAGGAAAAGACAUCUACGGGUCUGCUGACAUAGCAAGGCUGCUUAUCCCACUGCCUGGAGCUGUUGAAGAGCCCUUCUGACCUGAGUCCCACUCAAAGCUGGCAGCCUUCUGUGUUACUUGAUAACUGGAUCAGAGACACAUUCCCAAGUGUGGAAUACACUGCCUCGGAAACCCAGAGAAGCCUACCAGACCUUGGGAUGAGAGAGUUUAUCACCCACCUUGACAUCUGGAAGCCCAUCUGAAAGCCAAUAUCUCCCAAACAUCUAUGGCCUAUGGAAAUGGCCAUUGCACUGCUUUUUAAGGAUGCUGGUGUUCCCUUCAUCAUGGUGAAGAGAAGAACUUCAGAGUUUUCUUUCAGGGACAGAGCUAUGGAUGGGGUAAAAAGUAACACAGGUACGUCCACAACACUGACUGUCUUUGGAAUCCUUUCUUAGGUACCAGUGAAUUUCUGUCCUCCGAACUUCAUUCAGUGUAGACCAUGAAUGAAUUCAGAUGUCAGCCAACGCAAUGAGCAAAUAGCGCUCAAGCAAGUACCUUGAAUCUAGAAUCUCUGGAAAAGUGCAUCUGUAUCAAAGUCAUCUUGAUCUAAAAUUGUAUUUCUUCCUCCCUAAUCUGGAACCCUGUGAAUUUAUGGCCAUGGAAAUACUUUUCACAUUUAAUCAAUGUAAACUAGAAUAUAUCUUGUGAUUACUUAGGGAGGAAAUCUCUUAAGAUUGGCCCCCUGUGCGAUGCUAGGACAUGAUAAAAUCCUGUGGUGAUAAAGGUGGC